rnacentral:misc_RNA from 1 species
GAUGAAGAACGUAUCGAAAUGCGAUAAGUAAUGUGAAUUGCAGAAUUCAGUGAAUCAUCGAAUCUUUGAACGCACAUUGCGCCCAUUAGUAUUCUAGUGGGCAUGCCUGUUCGAGCGUCAUUAAGUCCACUUAAGCCUAGCUUAGUGUUGGGAGACUGCUCCAGUGGUGCUACCCUGUAGCUACCCUGCAGCUCCUUAAAGACAGCGGCGGAGUCGUGUUAUCCUCUGAGCUUAGUAAAUCAUUCUAGCUUUCGAGAGUAUCACUUCACCUGCCGUUAAACCACCUAAUUUUUAUGGUUGACCUCGGAUCAGGUAGGAAUACCCGCUGAACUUAAGCAUAUCAAUAAGCGGAGGA